UACAGAGGGUGCAAGCGUUAAUCGGAAUUACUGGGCGUAAAGCGUGCGUAGACGGUUAUGUAAGUCAGAUGUGAAAGCCCCGGGCUUAACCUGGGAAUGGCAUUUGAGACUGCAUAGCUAGGGUGCGGAAGAGGGAAGCGGAAUUUCCGGUGUAGCGGUGAAAUGCGUAGAUAUCGGAAGGAACGCCGGUGGCGAAAGCGGCGCGCUGGACCUCUUCUGACGCUGAGGCGCGAAAGCCAGGGGAGCAAACAGG
rnacentral:rRNA from 1 species